CGAAAGCCUGACGGAGCAAUACCGCGUGAGGGAGGAAGGCUCUUGGGUUGUAAACCUCUUUUCUCAGGGAAGAAGUUCUGACGGUACCUGAGGAAUCAGCAUCGGCUAACUCCGUGCCAGCAGCCGCGGUAAUACGGAGGAUGCAAGCGUUAUCCGGAAUGAUUGGGCGUAAAGCGUCCGCAGGUGGCACUCCAAGUCUGCUGUCAAAGGUCGGGGCUCAACUCCGAACAGGCAGUGGAAACUGGAGAGCUAGAGUGCGGUAGGGGCAGAGGGAAUUCCCGGUGUAGCGGUGAAAUGCGUAGAGAUCGGGAAGAACACCAGUGGCGAAAGCGCUCUGCUAGGCCGCAACUGACACUCAGGGACGAAAGCUAGGGGAGCGAAUGGGAUUAGAUACCCCAGUAGUCCUAGCCGUAAACGAUGGAUACUAGGCGUGGCAUGUAUCGACCCGUGCCGUGCCGGAGCUAACGCGUUAAGUAUCCCGCCUGGGGAGUACGCGCGCAAGCGUGAAACUCAAAGGAAUUGACGGGGGCCCGCACAAGCGGUGGAGUAUGUGGUUUAAUUCGAUGCAACGCGAAGAACCUUACCAGGGCUUGACAUGUCGCGAACCCCGGCGAAAGUUGGGGGUGCCUUCGGGAGCGCGAACACAGGUGGUGCAUGGCUGUCGUCAGCUCGUGUCGUGAGAUGUUGGGUUAAGUCCCGCAACGAGCGCAACCCUCGUGCUUAGUUGCCAGCAUUAAGUUGGGCACUCUAAGCAGACUGCCGGUGACAAACCGGAGGAAGGUGGGGAUGACGUCAAGUCAGCAUGCCCCUUACGUCCUGGGCUACACACGUACUACAAUGCUGCGGACAAAGGGCAGCAAGCUAGCGAUAGCAAGCUAAUCCCAGAAACCGUGGCUCAGUUCAGAUUGCAGGCUGCAACUCGCCUGCAUGAAGGCGGAAUCGCUAGUAAUCGCCGGUCAGCCAUACGGCGGUGAAUACGUCCCCGGGCCUUGUACACACCGCCCGUCACACCAUGGAAGCUGGCUAUGCCCGAAGUCGUUACCCUAACCGCAAGGAGGGGGAUGCCGAAGGCAGAGCUGGUGACUGGGGUGAAGUCGUAACAAGGUAGCCGUACCGGAAGGUGUGGCUGGAUCACCUCCUUUUCAGGGAGACCAACCUAGCUCAAUUCAAGCAGCAAAAUAAAGAAUUGAGACAGGUCAUCCCAAGGUCGUGCAAGGGCAAAAAGUAGUGCGGCUUUCAAACUGUAAUCUGGUUCGCAGCAGUGUGGUGGUAGGGGCUAUUAGCUCAGGUGGUUAGAGCGCACCCCUGAUAAGGGUGAGGUCCCUGGUUCGAGUCCAGGAUGGCCCACCUAAGACAGUAACAAUGAGUUAGAAGUUUUAAAUCUGUUGCUUGUGACCACAAGUAGCGACACAGAUGCUAAGAUAGAGAAGUUUGGAAAUUUAAGCUACAGCACCAUGACCCAGGUGAAGAAACCAAGAGGGUUAGACUGCUGGAGCUAGAUCCAGCCAGAACCUUGAAAACUGCAUAGCGAUUGACGUGCAAAGUAUAGCAGGUAAGAAGUAACUGGAAGCAAUUCCAGCGUAAAUCUUGCAGCAAAAAACACCAAUGAAGUGGUCAAGCUAAGAAGGGCUGAUGGUGGAUACCUAGGCACACAGAGGCGAAGAAGGACGUGGCGACCGACGAAAAACUCCGGGGAGCUGGAAGCAAGCAUUGAGCCGGAGGUGUCCGAAUGGGGCAACCCUUUGUACAGCCUGUUGAAUCCAUAGACAGGUAUGAGCCAACCCAGCGAACUGAAACAUCUUAGUAGCUGGAGGAACAGAAAGAAAACUCGAUUCCCCAAGUAGUGGUGAGCGAACGGGGAAAAGCCUAAACCAGUUGAUUUUUCAACUGGGGUAGUGGGACAGCAACGUGGAAUCGCGGAAGCUAGACGAAGCAGCUAAAUCCUGCACCAGAGAAGGUGAAAGUCCUGUAGUCAAAAGUGGAAGGAUACUAGCUGGAUCCCGAGUAGCAUGGGGCACGAGAAAUCCCGUGUGAAUCAGCGAGGACCACCUCGUAAGGCUAAAUACUACUGUGUGACCGAUAGCGAACCAGUACCGCGAGGGAAAGGUGAAAAGAACCCCAGCAAGGGGAGUGAAAUAGAACAUGAAACCAUCAGCCUACAAGCAGUGGAAGGACGACUCAACGUCUGACCGCGUGCCUGUUGAAGAAUGAGCCGGCGAGUUAUAAGCACUGGUAGGUUAGGGUGAGAAGACCGUAGCCGCAGCGAAAGCGAGUCUGAAGUGGGCGCAACAUCAGUGGUUAUAGACCCGAACCCGGGUGAUCUAACCAUGUCCAGGAUGAAGCUUGGGUAACACCAAGUGGAGGUCCGCACCGACCGAUGUUGAAAAAUCGGCGGAUGAGGUGUGGUUAGGGGUGAAAUGCCAAUCGAACCCGGAGCUAGCUGGUUCUCCCCGAAAUGUGUUGAGGCGCAGCGGUUGUGAUUAUAGCUUGGGGGUAAAGCACUGUUUCGGUGCGGGCUGCGGUAAGCGGUACCAAAUCGAGAUAAACUCUGAAUACCAGGCGGACACACAACUAGUGAGACGGUGGGGGAUAAGCUUCAUCGUCAAGAGGGAAACAGCCCAGACCACCAGCUAAGGUCCCAAAAUUGGCACUAAGUGAUUAAGGAGGUAGGAGUGCACAGACAACCAGGAGGUUUGCCUAGAAGCAGCCAUCCUUGAAAGAGUGCGUAAUAGCUCACUGGUCAAGCGCUCCUGCGCCGAAAAUGAACGGGGCUAAGUGCCAUACCGAAGCUGUGGGAUAUGCAAAUAUCGGUAGGGGAGCGUUCCGCGAUAGGGAGAAGCACUAGCGGCAAGCAGGUGUGGACGAAGCGGAAGCGAGAAUGUCGGCUUGAGUAGCGAAAACAUUGGUGAGAAUCCAAUGCCCCGAAACCCUAAGGGUUCCUCCGGCAGGUUCGUCCGCGGAGGGUUAGUCAGGACCUAAGGCGAGGCCAAACGGCGUAGUCGAUGGACAACGGGCGAACAAUCCCGUACUGAUGUUGAUUGGUGCAGAGGGACGGAGAAGGCAAAGCCAGCCGGAUGUUGGUUACCGGUUGAACUGACCGAGGCGAAGAGCGGUGGCGAAAACGCCGCGAGCUGAGGCAGGAGUACGAGGUGAUACGUCACCGAAGUGGUGUAGUCCGGCUCCCAAGAAAAGCUUUAAGUACCAUAAAUCAACAUUACCUGUACCCGAAACCGACACAGGUAGGGAGGUUGAGAAUACCAAGGGGCGCGAGAUAACUCUCUCUAAGGAACUCGGCAAAAUGGCCCCGUAACUUCGGAAGAAGGGGUGCCUACGAAAGUAGGUCGCAGUGAAGAGAUCCAGGCGACUGUUUACCAAAAACACAGGUCUCCGCUAAGUCGAAUGACGAUGUAUGGGGGCUGACGCCUGCCCAGUGCCGGAAGGUUAAGGAAGUCGGUCAGGGGGCAACCCUAAAGCUGGCGACCGAAGCCCCGGUGAACGGCGGCCGUAACUAUAACGGUCCUAAGGUAGCGAAAUUCCUUGUCGGGUAAGUUCCGACCCGCACGAAAGGCGUAACGAUCUGGAUGGUGUCUCAGAGAGAGACUCGGCGAAAUAGGAAUGUCUGUGAAGAUACGGACUACCUGCACCUGGACAGAAAGACCCUAUGAAGCUUUACUGUAGCCUGGAAUGGUGUCCGGGCUUCGCUUGCGCAGGAUAGGUGGGAGGCGUAGAAGCUGCCCUUGUGGGGGCAGUGGAGCCAACGGUGAGAUACCACUCUGGCGAAGCUAGGAUUCUAACCUGUAGCCGUGAGCCGGCGCGGGAACAGUUUCAGGUGGGCGGUUUGACUGGGGCGGUCGCCUCCUAAAUGGUAACGGAGGCGCGCAAAGGUUCCCUCAGGCUGGUUGGAAAUCAGCCAGAGAGUGUAAAGGCAAAAGGGAGCUUGACUGCGAGAGUUACAACUCGAGCAGGGUGGAAACACGGCCUUAGUGAUCCGACGGUUCUGAGUGGAAGGGCCGUCGCUCAACGGAUAAAAGUUACUCUAGGGAUAACAGGCUGAUCUCCGCCAAGAGUUCACAUCGACGCGGAGGUUUGGCACCUCGAUGUCGGCUCAUCGCAACCUGGGG
rnacentral:sRNA from 1 species